GCGAGAAUAGCUCAGUUGGUAGAGUACGACCUUGCCAAGGUCGGAGCCGCGGGUUCGAGUCCCGUUUCUCGCU
rnacentral:tRNA from 1 species